GCACUGGAGAUCUUUUCAUCUUCUAAGGUCUUCUUCACUUUCUUUCUUUAGUCUUAUAUAGUUUUCAUUGUAUUGGCUUUUCACUUCUUUUGUUAGAUUGAUUCCCAAGUAUUUCAUUUCAUUUUUUUUUGGGGGGGGCGCUAUUGUGAAUGGGGUAGUUUUCCUAAUUUCUCUUUCAGUGGAUUCAUCACAGAUGUAUAGAAAUGCAUUUGAUUUAUGGGUGUUGAUCACUUAUUAGUUCUAGAAGUUUUUUGGUAGAAUUUGUUUUGAUCUUCUAAAUAUAGAAUUAUGUUGUCGGCAAACAGUGAUAGUUUGAGUUCUUCUUUUUCUAUUUGUAUCCCUUUUUUAAAAAAAAUUUCUAGUUGUAGUUGGACACAGUACCUUUAUUUUGUUUAUUUUUAUGAUUGAACCAGGGCCUCACACUUACUAGGUGAGCACUCUACCGCUGAGCCUCAACCCCCAGGCACCACUCCCCCACAAUCCCUUUAAUUUCUUCUAAUUGCUCUGGCUACAGUUUCAAGGACAAUGUUGAAUAAAAGUGGUGAAAGACAGCAUCCUUUUGAAAGAGGGAAUGCUUUCAAUUUUUCUCUAUUUAGAAUGAUGUUGGCCUUGGGUUUGACACAUAGCUUUUACAAUGCUAAAGUACGUUCCUCCUAUCCCCCUUUUUUUUUUUCCUUGGGGGUGGUGGUGGUUACUAGGGUUUGAUCUCAGGGGUACUCGACCACUAAGCCACAUUCCCAGCCCUAUUUUGUAUUUUAUUUGGAGACAGGGUCUCACUGAGUUGCUUAUAGUACCUUGCUUUUGCUGAGGCUGGCUUUGAACUUAUGAUCCUCCUUCUCAGCCUCCUGAGCUGCUGGGGUUAUAGGCAUGCACUAUAUUUCUAGUUUUUCUACUGUUUUGAACAUGAAGCAGUGCUGUAUUUUAUCAUUCUUUUUCUGCAUCUACUGAGGUAACCAUAUGAUUCUUGUCUUUAAGUCUAUUGAUGUAAUAAAUUACAUUUAUUGAUUUCCAUAUGUUGAACCAACUUCACAUCCCUGGGAUGAAUCCCACUUGAUUGUAGUGUGUUAUCUUUUAAAUAUGUUUUUGUAUGUGAUUUGAAGAAUUUUAUUGAGAACUUUUGCAUUUAUGUUAAUCAGGGAUAUUGGUCUGUAGUUUUCUUUGCUUGAUGUGUCUUUGUCUGGUUUUGGGAUCAGGGUAAUAGAAGCUUCAUAGAAUGAGUUUGGAAGGAUUCCCUUCUCUUCUAUUUCAUGGAAUAAUUUGAGGAGUAUUGGUGUUAAUUCUUCUUUGAAGGUCUUAUAGAACUUGGCUGAGAAUCUGGUUCUGGGCUUUAUUAAGUUGCUAGGCUUUUGAUGGCAUCUUCUGUUUCAUUGCUUGAAAUUGAUCUGUUUAAAUUGUGUAUGUCCUCUUGAUUGAGUUUGGGUGGGUCAUAUGUCUCUAGAAAUUUAUUUAUGUCUUCAAGAUUUUCUAUUUUAUU
rnacentral:lncRNA from 1 species